CUGACCAGAGGACAAGGAUCAAGCGGCUCCCAGCAUUGCUGGGCUGCCGAGAGUUUGGAUGAUGAUGCCCUCCUGUUGAUUUCCCUCCCUGGCAGUCUCUGAACCUUGCACCUCUGAGGAAGAAUCAGAAAAGCAACAUUCUGAGCUGCAUUGAGCCUAAGGGUCAGAGAUCUGGAUCUGGAUGGCCUUGAUGGGGUUAAAGUGAAAAUGAAGAGCAGAGGGAAAGCUGCCCCUAAUCCCUCUCUUCCUGAUGUUGAAAGAGAUCUCUAUUCCUUACUUCCUGAAGGAAAGAAAAUGAUCUGCUGCAGGAAAAUCAAGUUAGCAAGGUUGAGGAUCCAACCCAAAUACACUGGUUACGACCACAAAGAUUGUUGUGAGUACUGAGAAGUCUGCAACCACCACUGCUGACUCAUUCACUGCCACACUCAUCUGACAUGGGAGCCCAUCCCUCCCCUCCCACCCCCAUUCACAAGUUAUCUGCUCAUGGACUGGGUUCCCUCAAAAGCUAUCUGGCUUCAUCCCUUCUCAGUGGUACCCUUCUGAUAGCUUGAUUUUGACUCUGAGCUAAACCCAUUGCCUAGGUAGGCUAAGUGUGAGUUCAGCCAGAUGAAUUAUGAGCAACAUUGUCUUUUCAAUUUUCUUGUCUCCAAUCCACAGAAGAUUGUUUUAGUCCAACAGAGUAAGAUCCUGUCCUUCAGGUAGAUGAGCCAGUCAUUAUACAUCAGCAUGCAGUGUAAUUAUCCUGUAUGUUCCCUGUAACAGGUAUUCUACUCAGAGUUUUUUCCCACCUGAAAUCUGGAUGUGUUGCUGACUUCAGGAUCCCAUAGUGUGAACUUUCUACAAAAGUAGGUGAAGGCAUUAAGAGUCUGGACCUCUGUAUAAUGUCGUAAACAUAAUUAAACAGUCUCUCAUUUCUAACAUUUCACCCUGACAAGAAAAAAUAAUGUGUUUGCUCCAUUGAGCUCUAUGCUGGUGAGGAGAACUCCCUGUGAAGUUUAUAAACACAUUCAAUCCAAGUAGAUAACACGACUAUUUUUUUCCAACUUGAUUCAGAUAAUUAGUCCCCAAGUCCUCACUGAGUAAAACUGCAGUCACAUAUUUAUGCUGAAUAAGACUUUUCAGUGGGAUUAUUUGCAAAAUAAGACUUUGUCAGCCAUUAGAAAUGGGAUCAUUGCAGAGUUACUAACAUUUUGCUGCUACUUACCACAGGCAGCACAAAUUGGCCUGGCAUCUCUGCUAAUUAUUUAGAUUGUAGCAGACAGAAAGUUAAUAGAAUUCUUCCAAUUACUAUUGGAAGAAUUUGUCAUCUAUUAUGUAGGGAAAGUGAUUUUGAUAUAUGAGCAGUGUUGGAAAGAAUCAUCAAUGCGAAAACUCAAACCGGAUCUGUGUGCACAGUAUCUUGUCUUGCAGGAAGUAGUGGGAGUUCACAUGUGAAAAAGAGCUGUUCACAAAUCAGUAUCCCUGGGAGCUCUCUGGAUGACUUUCCUGCACUUUGUGGUAUUCUGCAAAGAGAAAAAUCCUCUUUCUUCUUCAUGUGCCUUUUUAUGGCACAAACCAUUCACACAAAGCCACAUGUGUAGCAGUUCACACUGGUUCAUCUGCAGCGGGUGCAGAUUAGGAUCAGGUACGAAACAAAGGUUCUAGUCCAUAGCGGCGACUACAACUACUACACUUAAAGCAAAGGUAUUCUCGAAACAGUCUUAAUUAUUAAGUGAUAGGACAUGAGGAAAUGGUCUCAAAUUGUGCCAGGGGAGUUUUAGAUCAGGAAGAAUUCUUCACAGAGAGGUGGAUGAAGCAUUGGAACAGUCUGCCUAGGAAAGUGGUGAACUCCUCAUCCUGGGAGAUGUUUAAGAGGUGUGUGGACAUGGCACUAAGUGACAUGGUUUAGCACUGAGACUUAGCAGGUCAGGUUAAUGAUUGGACUUAAAGAUCUUGAAGGUCUUUUCCAACCUAAAUGGUUCUAUGAUUCUACGAUUAAAAUCUUUCCAAAUUAUAGUGUGAUGAAUGCUUGGGAAGCUUUUGCCUUGCCUUUAAUCACAGUUUAACUGGAAUCAUGAACAGUUUUCAUAAUGAAGUCCACAGCUUGCAAAAGAUUUGUAUACCAAGUGUAUGUGUAGACCUCGUUGUUCCAGAUAGCACUUCUUCCCUGAAGCAUGCAGUGACAAGCUCUUCAGUAUGUUUAUUACUGUACAACACUGUGAGCCAACUAAUGAUUAUUACUGGCUGUGCAUUGGGUCACUGCAGAGUUUCAACACAAGAAGGUACAUUCUAGAUGGAUUGUGCCUGAAGGGCACUAUCCCUUAUGGAUCAACCUAGUGGGGCAAAGAACCUCUAUCUUAAUAACGAUGCACCGAGCUCCCACCUCUGCCUCAGGGGAGAGUAGGUAGAGUGACAAGUCCUGUCUGUGUACUUCCCAAGCACAACCAGUCUUGAUUUGUACUUGGUCUUUUUCCAGAGCUCUGGGAUGGAGAAAAUCCUACUCAUGUCCUGUCUUACUCCAUACGGCUGCACAAAAGCCAACUUCAAUUACUGCUGUUGUGAUAAUGCCCACUGCACAAUACUUCCUCUGUUCUGAUGCUGCAAGAACCAGGAAAGUUUGGCAAACUCCUGGCCAAGCAGGCUAUCCUUCAAAUUAAAAUAGCCCCCUUUUCACUGCGAGGUUUGAACACAGCCCAGUUUUUCCUGUCAGUUGGUGUGACAUGAGUUUGAAGAUUUUCUAGGUAAAUUAGAUUUUUAAAAAUAAUUGAAAACAUAAAAGCUAAAAUACACAUAAAAAUUGGUUAGGCGUACUAUUAGUGCACUCUCAUUUUACUAAUGCUACACAUGAAUAGAGGUAAGAAAACAAUCAGAACUGGGGGGAGAUGUCUUGGCAUAGCUCAGGAGACCUCCAUCUUUAGGGAAGAAGAGUUGCAAAGAAGACAACAAAAUGGGGUUCAGUUGAGCCAGUCUUCAAAGCUUUUAGAAAGUGCCUUUUUUUUUGCAAGGUUUUAAAGUCAGUUAUCCUCACAGAAUUUGUUUUAUGCUUGUCUUGAGGAUGAAGAUAGCAAUAUUUCAUUAUUUAUCUGCCUCUUACCCUCAGUGCAGUCUCUGAAUGUGCAGGCCUCUCCUUGGCCCUGUGUUGGACACAAGAUGGCAGAUGUCUCUCUAUUGACAGGAAACAGGGAAGAGCACACACCCCUCGGUACUGGCUGCUCAGAAAAGGCAGCAAGACGUUACUCCUUGAAGGCAUGAGGCAGUAUAUUCCCCAACUGGCAGAGACAACAACAAGGAAGAAAAAAAAUAAAAAUAGUUAAAAAAUAGGUUAGGCAGUAUUUAGGAAUAACUUUCCUUUGCAGA